AUUUUAAAAUUAUUGUUUUGAUUUUUUUUUUUAAAAAAAAAAUACGAAAAAAAAAUCAUAUAAAGUUUUAACAAUGUUGACGUUAUUAUUGCUUAUUAUCGCACUUUCAAGUGUCGCUUAUUGUGUUGAUAUGAGAGAUUCUGAAUAUGAUCUUUUGUAUGACUUUUUGGACG
rnacentral:ribozyme from 1 species